rnacentral:rRNA from 1 species
AGAAUCAACGCUGGCGGCGUGCCUAACACAUGCAAGUCGAACGAGAAAGUGGAGCAAUCCAUGAGUAAAGUGGCGCACGGGUGAGUAACACGUGACUAACCUACCCUUGAGUGGGGGAUAACUGAGGGAAACCUUAGCUAAUACCGCAUAAUACCCACGGGUCAAAGGAGCAAUUCGCUCGAGGAGGGGGUCGCGGCCGAUUAGUUAGUUGGCGGGGUAAUGGCCCACCAAGACGAUGAUCGGUAUCCGGCCUGAGAGGGCGCACGGACACACUGGAACUGAAACACGGUCCAGACUCCUACGGGAGGCAGCAGUGGGAAUUUGCGCAAUGGGGGAAACCCUGACGCAGCAACGCCGCGUGGAGGAUGAAGUCCUUCGGGACGUAAACUCCUUUCGAUCGGGACGAUUAUGACGGUACCGGAAGAAGAAGCCCGGCUAACUUCGCGCCAGCAGCCGC